rnacentral:rRNA from 1 species
CCUACGGGAGGCAGCAGUGAGGAAUAUUGCGCAAUGGGCGAAAGCCUGACGCAGCGACGCCGCGUGGGGGAUGAAGGUCUUCGGAUUGUAAACCCCUUUCGGGUGGGAAGAUGGCGCUCGACAACGAGCGUGGACGGUACCACCAGAAGCAGCCACGGCUAAUUUCGUGCCAGCAGCCGCGGUAAUACGAAGGUGGCAAGCGUUGUCCGGAUUUAUUGGGCGUAAAGGGCUCGUAGGCGGUUCAGCAAGUCGGCCGUGAAAGCCCGGGGCUCAACCCCGGGACGCCGGUCGAAACUGCUGUGACUAGGGUCCGGUAGAGGUGAGUGGAAUUCUCGGUGUAGCGGUGGAAUGCGCAGAUAUCGAGAGGAACACCAGUAGCGAAGGCGGCUCACUGGGCCGGUACCGACGCUGAGGAGCGAAAGCGUGGGGAGCAAACAGGAUUAGAUACCCUGGUAGUCCACGCCGUAAACGUUGAACACUAGGUGUGGCGGAUUUAUCAACGUCUGCCGUGCCGACGCUAACGCAUUAAGUGUUCCGCCUGGGGAGUACGGCCGCAAGGCUAAAACUCAAAGGAAUUGACGG